AUGAGUCUUUGCCAAAAAGUUGUUAAGGUUAUGCUCUUUGACAACGCCCAAGGAUGAGGCCGCGACCGAUCAGGUUGUUGGUGAGGUAAUGGCUCACCAAGCCUUUUACCGGUGCGGGCCGUGAGAGCGGGAGCCCGGAGAUGGGCGCUGAGACAAGGGCCCAGGCCCUACGGGGCGCAGCAGUCGCGAAAACUUUGCAAUAAGCGAAAGCUUGACAGGGCUAUCCCGAGUGCCAUCCGCUGAGGAAGGCUUUUACCCAGUCUAGAACGCUGGGGGAAUAAGGAGAGGGCAAGUCUGGUGUCAGCCGCCGCGGUAAUACCAGCUCUCCGAGUGGUGUGGAUGUUUAUUGGGCCUAAAGCAUCCGUAGCUGGCUAGGUGAGUCCCCUGUUAAAUCCACCGAAUUAAUCGUUGGAUUGCGGGGGAUACUGCUUGGCUAGGGGACGAGAGAGGCAGACGGUAUUCCCGGGGUAGGGGUGAAAUCCUAUAAUCCCGGGAAGACCACCAGUGGCGAAGGCUGUCUGCUAGAACGCGCCCGACGGUGAGGGAUGAAAGCUGGGGGAGCGAACCGGAUUAGAUACCCGGGUAGUCCCAGCUGUAAACGAUGCAGGCUAGGUGUUUGGACGGCCACGUGCCGUUCUAGUGCCGCAGGGAAGCUGUUA
rnacentral:rRNA from 1 species